AAAAAAAAAAAAAAAAAAAGAAACCCACAUUUGUCAUUGUUGUCUGUAUUACAUUUUGUUGCUUAUUCUAACUGGACAUGGUGGGUGUCUUACAUGAUUUGCGGUCUGGAUUGUCUAUGAAAUGUUGCUGUUGCUCACAUGUAAAUUUAAUAAUUUUAUUUAACAAUUUAUGUUUCAAUCGAGCAUUCCAUAGAUUUACGUAGAUGUCUGCUGCUUUGAGUUCGUAAGUUGGGAAUGAUAAGUGGACUGACUUUGCCUCCUUAGUGAAAGCGGGCGAAAAAGCUAUUCCCAUAGCAGUUAAUACACGUUGAUAACCUCUGCUUGGACCGGCUACGGUUUUGUGACACCCCUAUGUUCAGUAAUGCAUUCUACUGUUUCGGUGACCAGUGUUGUCCAGACAGCUAGGAUGCCUAGAACUAC
rnacentral:misc_RNA from 1 species